UCAGUCCCCAGCCCCUCUCCCUCCCCCAGAGAUCUUUGUGGCGGAGGUGGGGGGGGGUACAGGGCACCUGAAAGUCCCCACCUUUCCGGGCUUGGUCUUCUCAGUGGGGACAGCCCCUCCAGUGACAGUAGCCAGUGAGGCACUUCAGUCUCGUAGAAGCAAGUGUACGUGAAGGGGUUCCUCACAGGUAACCACACACCUGUCACUCAGGAAUUCCUGCAAGUUUCAGGAACGGGGACAAAAACCAAAUCUAUUUUGCCUACAUCACAUAUAAACCCAUAGAUGACCUGGCUCUUCCUGAUGCUGACAUCACAUGCGGUCAGCAGGCACUCCCAACUGAAGGGGCUGAAAACUCAUGAGAGCGUGACUUGAAAGUCUACUGUCGGACAGCAGACAUCCCUCUGGGGCAAGAGGCUCUGGCCCAAAGGUGCCCGCUUGGCUAACAGCAAGCACAGCCCAGCAGGAGCUCUCUCUGCAGCGGCCUCUCUGGCCACCCCAUCACAUAGCUCACGGUGCUCGCCCUCUUCACACAGCAUGGCCCUGUCCUUUGCAGUGAAGUGAUGGGUUUACUCCCCAAGCGAAGCCUCCGGGAUGGUGCUUCCCGGGGGUCUCCGUGUCCACAGCAUCCUGGGAGCCUUCGCCACUUCCUCAAGACAUCUCCCGAAGAAGCCAGGAGGGCUGAGCUCUGAGGGAGGAAGCAGCCUGUGGCAGAAAAUAAAUAAUUCCACCAUCAGAAUGAAAAUGAAAAACGGCAGUGCCUGCCUUCUAUCAAGAGGCCCCGCGGCCCACCCGGCGGAGCUGGCGCCCUGGCCUCCGGCUCCGGGCUGGAGUGCCUUUCUUCCCUCCUCCCUGCGUGACCAGUUUUCCCCUGUUUUCCCUUCUGAGCAAUAAAGCAGCCGCUCACAUCAA